CCAAUUCUCCGACGACACCACCACUUGCGCCUCCCGAUUCUCCAACCACCACCACAACUUGCGCCUCCCGAUUCUCCAACCACCACCAUCGCCACCUGGCCUCCCGGCUCUCUGAAGACCACCACCACCAGCGCCUCCCGGCUCUCCGACGACCACCACCAACGGUAUUUGUGUGAGUCUCUUUGUAAGGAUCUGAUGUAUUUAAUAUUAUAUUUUGAGUAUUAUAUAUAUUGCCUUUCAAUGGAACAGUAGAAUAGGGUUAAUUGGGGAGGAAGAAAUAGGAAAGAAAGAGUAAAGAAGAAGAAAGAGUUGGUGAAAUUCAGAUAAAAGUGGCUAGUUGCCUUCAUUAAUGAUUUUCAUGCUAUUUAUAGAAACCUGCCAAAUAUGACCUAAAGGGAUAUUCCCCUUUACCCAAUACAAAACUAACACCUGUCCUUAUUCUAAUUGCAGGUAUUUAAAUAAAAUUGGUUGCCAGCACAUUUGCUGGAAUCUUCAACAGCCCAUCCGGUGUUGGGCUCAAGCUUUAGGCCCACUUCAGCAGUUGAGUAUGGUUUGGGCUUAGAAUAAUGCGGCCCACUCGAAUCUCCCAUUUUGUGCAUUUCUGCAGCCAAAACGCCGUCGUCUUCAAUUCCUUUAUUGAAAGCCCUAAUUUUACGAUUGCCCCUUUUCCUCUUCGAUCCCCAAUUCAAUUUGCCUGAGUACAUGACAUUACCCCCGGGAUUACCAAAUCCUUGUCCCCAAGGAUCAAAAGAAGGGAACUUGGCCAUCAAUUCAUCGAAAUUCUCCCAUGUAGCGUGCGUAGGGUCAGAACCCGACCAUUGCACGAGGACUUGGGUGCACGGUAGCUGAUUGAGGGUCGUGGUGCGCUGGUCCAGGAUUUUGAAAAACUUCAAAAGUUCCAGUAUCAGUAGAGAAAGGGAGGUUGGGGCUGGGAAUGUGCUUGGUGCUGAGCUUCUUUUUCAGUAGCGAGACAUGGAAUACAUCGUGAACCUUGGAGUUUGGUGGAAGGAGUAGCCGGUAGGCGACGGGUCCCACGCGUUCCACAAUAGGAUAAGGUCCAAAAUACCGGUUCGAAAGCUUCAAAUUCCGGCGAAGGGCGACCGAGUUCUGUCUAAAUGGUUGCAAUUUGAGGUAAACUUCAUCCCCCACCUCAAACUGUCGUUCAACCCUUUUUGUGUCCGCGUAGUGUUUCAUACGUGUCUGAGCUAGUAACAAAUUAUCACGAAUGAGGUCUAACACAAGAGUUCUGUCACGAAUUAAGUCUCCCACUGUAGAGUUGGUAGUGUCUAGAUAAGAACCCAUAGAGAAAUAGGGUGGUUUGUACCCAUACAAGGCUUGAAAUGGGGACAUCUUCAAGCUAGUAUGGUGAUUGGUGUUGUACCAGAACUCAGCAAGGGUGAGCCAUUUCAUCCAUUGAUGAGGGUGCUGACUGGCAAAACACCUUAAAUACCCCUCCAAGCACUGAUUAACACGCUCAGUUUGGCCAUCACUCUGAGGGUGGUAGGCAGUGGACAUAGACAGUUUAGUACCAAGAAGUUUAAAUAGCUCAGUCCAAAACUGGCUAGUAAAAACCCUAUCUCUAUCAGUGACAAUAUUAACUGGCUGUCCAUGUAAUUUGACAAUGUGGUCUAGGAAGAGUUUGGCAACACUUGGGGCAGAGUAGGGGUGAGAAAGGGGUAGGAAAUGUGCAUACUUGGUGAGUCUGUCUACUACCACUAGUAUGACAUUCUUACCUUCUGACUUAGGCAGCCCUUCAAUAAAGUCCAUGGAAACAUGUGACCAAGCCUCUUUAGGAAUUUCCAAAGGUUCUAAUAAACCUGGGUAAGGAUUGGUUUCAUGCUUGGCUUUCUUACACACAUCACAACUCUGAACAAAAUUCAGAACAUCUGCUUUCAUCUUAGGCCAAUAGAAAAGUGAUUUGGCUCUGUGAUAAGUGCCAUGAAUGCCUGAGUGACCCCCAAUAGCUGUGUCAUGAAGACUCUGUAGCAGCUUAUCCCUCAAUAACAGAUCUGAUCCAAUGCAGAUUCUCCCUUUAUACCUCAAAAUACCCUGCACUACUGAGUAAUCAGGAAAGGAAGAAGAAUCCAACACCUGAGCAGCUAAUAUUUUCUUGAUAGCAGCAUCUUGUUCAUAGCUAUCAAGAACCUCUAGCAUCCAUUUAGGUUGAACAGUGGUAGUGGCAUAGCACUCCCCAUUUGUACACUCCUUCCUUGAAAGGGCAUCAACUACUCUAUUCUCUGCCCCUUUUUUAUACUCAAUGGUAUAAUCUAACCCAAUCAAUUUAGAAAUCCAUCUCUGUUGAAGGGCUGAAGUGAACUUUUGAUCCAUAAUAUACUUGAUGCUUUGCUGAUCAGUUCUAAUAGUGAAGUGGUGGCCCUGUAAAUAGUGUUUCCACUUCUGAAUGGCCAGCAAAACAGCCAUAAACUCCCUCUCAUAAAUAGAUAAUGCCUGAUUCCUUAAACUGAGUGCCUUACUGAUGAAAGCUAUAGGUCUGGAGCCUUGCAUUAGUACUGCUCCAAGACCUGUAGAGCUGGCAUCUGUUUCCACCAGGAAGGGUUUAGAAAAGUCAGGCAGGGCAAGCACUGGUGAUGUAACCAUAGCCUCUUUGAGCUGUGCAAAAGCACUUUCUGCUUCCUUAGUCCAAUGAAAACCUCCUUUUUUUAACAUCUCUGUCAAGGGCUUGCUAAUAGCUCCAUAGCAUUGAACAAACUUCCUGUAAUAACCUGUAAGUCCUAAAAACCCUCUGAGUCCUUUGACUGUUGUAGGUUUUGGCCAAUCCAACAUCCCUUUGAUCUUCUCAGGAUCAGUAGCUACCCCUUGCUCACUGAUAAUAUGACCCAAGUACUCAAUUGAAGGUUGAGCAAAGCAACAUUUAGACUGUUUAGCAUAUAAAGCAUGUUUCCUCAUAAUUGCUAGUGUAGUCUCUAAAUGAUGUAGGUGGUCCUCCAGACUCUUGCUGUAUAUCAAAAUAUCAUCAAAAAACACCAAUAUAAAUUUCCUCAAAUAAGAAGCAAACACCUGAUUCAUGAGAGAUUGAAAUGUAGCAGGGGCAUUACAAAGCCCAAAAGGCAUAACCAUGAACUCAAAAUGGCCAUGAUGUGUUUUAAAGGCUGUCUUAUACACAUCCUCAUCCCUCAUUCUGAUCUGGAAAUACCCUGACCUCAGAUCCAUCUUUGUAAACCACCUUGCCCCAUGUAAUUCAUCUAAUAACUCAUCUAUGACUGGAAUGGGGUAAUCAUGCUUCACAGUCAUAGUGUUUAGAUAUCUGUAGUCCACACACAUUCUCCAACUAGAGUCCUUUUUUCUGACCAAUAAGACAGGGGAGGCAAAUGGGCUCUGACUAUGCCUGAUCACUCCAUUCUCUAGAAGUUCCUUAACAAUUUGCUCAAUCUCAUUCUUAUAGGCAUGUGAAUACCUGUAAGGGUAGAGUUGUUUAGGAAUGGCAUCCUUCUUGAGAAUUAUGUGAUGUUCAACACCCCUGAUUGGUGGUAAACCCCUAGGCUCCUCAAAUAUAUCUUGAUACUCCUUCAACAGUUGUGUAACUUCAGCUGGAAAUACCUUCUGUGGUCCACUGUCCACAAUAGAGUAUACUUGACCCUCAGCAUCUCCUUUGUGAUGUUGCAUCAUUUUGUAAAAUGAUUCACUAGAAACCAACUUCCAGUCAACUUCUUCCUUGAUAUCAGUGAUCAUGACCCUAUGGACUCCACAUUUCACCUCAAUGCACCUUUUGUCAUAAUCAAAUACCAGUGGGCUACUCUUUAAAAGCCAAUCACACCCAAGAAUAACAUGAUAUCCCUCCAUAUCUAUUAUUCUUAGUGGAAAAUUAAAAGUAUGGCCCUGCAUCUGCCAAGCAAACUCCCUAAUGAUUCUGGAGCUCAAAAGUUUGGCCCCAUUUGCCACUGUAAUAAUCAUAUUUGGGGCCAUUUCCACUCUGCAGUUAAGCUCUGCAGCCAACCCUCCAGAAAUGAAGCUAUUUGUACUACCAGUGUCUAUAAGUAUAUUAAGUUGAACAUUCCCAAAAUUACCAUAAACCUUGAUGGUAUUCACUCCCGUAUUGCCCAAUAAGGCAUUGAGGGAAACCUGUACCUCUUCCCCUGAUACAUUUCCCUCCAACAUUUCUACAUCUGACAUGGUUUGAUAAUACUCCAUCUCUUCUGCUUCUGUCAUCAACAUGUAGAUAUGGCUGUGUUUGCAUUUGUGGUUAGGUGUAUAUGUGUCAUCACAGUUGUAACAGAGCCCUUUUUCUCUUCUGGCUCUCAUUUCAGCUAUGGUAAGGUUCUUUCUCUGGGGAAGCAGAGCAGGUGGUGUGUAGGUUGGUGGUUUAUUAGGUUGAGUGGGUGGUGGAUUGGGGUUGUGCCAUAUUUUCUUUGGUUGUGGAAAUGGGGUAGUGGUUGGUCUGUAGGGUGGUUUGUUCUUUUUGGUGAUUGACUCAAUGGUAUGUGCUUGUUUCCUGGCCAUUUCCAUGACAUGAUGCAAGCCUUUGAUGUCAAAAAGGGAAAAGAAGCUCCUGACUUCCUCAGGCAGCCCCUUCAUAAAACAGUGCACAAAGUACUUCUCAUCAUAUGUCCUAGUGUUAAAUAGCAGUAAAUAACACCUCAUCUCCUCAAACUUUUCAAUAAACUCCUCAACAGAUUCUGUCACCUUUAGAGAGUGUAUAUCAUCCAACACAUUCCCUUCCUGUAACUCCUCAAAUCUGUUGGUGACUAACCCUACAAAAUCCUCCCAAUACAAAUCCCUCUGAUUCAAAUGGCUAUACCAUGAGGCUGCCUUGCCCUCAAGGUGAAUGGAAGCUAUGGCAACCCUCUGCUUGUUAGGUAUAUUUGGGAUGAGUUGAAAGUAGCUAUCACACCUCAGUAGCCAUGAUCUAGGGUUAGAUCCAUCAAACCGUGGGAAUUCAACUCUAGGGCUAGGGUUAAAUCCCACAGCAAACUGCUCAUCCCUUUCAUGCUGUUUAAACCCCCUUAAUUCAGUAGCUGGCCUAGUGUAGUGUUCAGGAGUAGCCAUAGGGAUUGUAGAGUUACCAGAAGCUGAUGAUGAAGGUCCCCCUCCCAUAAGUGGUUUGUCUCUGUGGUAGAACUCCAUUCUUUCAGCAAUUUUGGUCAUCUGUAGCUGCAAUAGCUCUACUGCCUUUUGCAUUUGUGUCUGCCCUUCUGUUACAGAUUGUGAUACCAAAUUGAGCUGAUUUUGGAGCAAAAUCUCUACUGCCUGUCUCCUAUCCACCUCCUCUUGGAUCUUCUGAUCCACCAAUUUCUUGUGUGUUUAUAAUAUUUCCUUAGAUCUGGUAGCUUCAGCCAUAUUUGUAGUGUUUUUCUCCAGGAAAAAGAGCCUUGCUCUGGAUACCAAAUGUAAGGAUCUGAUGUAUUUAAUAUUAUAUUUUGAGUAUUAUAUAUAUUGCCUUUCAAUGGAACAGUAGAAUAGGGUUAAUUGGGGAGGAAGAAAUAGGAAAGAAAGAGUAAAGAAGAAGAAAGAGUUGGUGAAAUUCAGAUAAAAGUGGCUAGUUGCCUUCAUUAAUGAUUUUCAUGCUAUUUAUAGAAACCUGCCAAAUAUGACCUAAAGGGAUAUUCCCCUUUACCCAAUACAAAACUAACACCUGUCCUUAUUCUAAUUGCAGGUAUUUAAAUAAAAUUGGUUGCCAGCACAUUUGCUGGAAUCUUCAACAGCCCAUCCGGUGUUGGGCUCAAGCUUUAGGCCCACUUCAGCAGCUGAGUAUGGUUUGGGCUUAGAAUAAUGCGGCCCACUCGAAUCUCCCAUUUUGUGCAUUUCUGCAGCCAAAACGCCGUCGUCUUCAAUUCCUUUAUUGAAAGCCCUAAUUUUACGAUUGCCCCUUUUCCUCUUCGAUCCCCAAUUCAAUUUGCCUGAGUACAUGACACUCUUGUAUUUGUGAAGAUUACUUGUUUGAUGUUUCUUUUUGCAAUUUGGCUACUGUCUGGUGAUCAAUUUUUCCUUUUUUUUUUUUUUUUGGGAAAAUUCCAGAAAAAUUUCGAAAGAAUUCCGAAAAAUUCCGAAAAUGAAAAUUUCCGAAAAAUCCGAUUUUCCAAAAGUAAUAUUGUAAUUGUAGUCGGAAGCAAGGAAGGAUUCGUUUCUUUGUUGUACAGCUGCAGAAUAGUCAAAAGACAGAGACAGCUCAACUUGAAAACUAGUAGUAAUAAAGCAUGAUUAGUACUAAUCUAAUUAGCGUUUUGCUGCUCUUAUUAUUAUCAAGUCUUCUCUUCUCUUUUUUAGUUGCAACCAGUCGUCAAAGUAAAUAAAUAAAUAAAUAGAGAUAAUCUCAUGACUUUCUGGUUUGUUUUCCAACCAUCUUCAACAACAACAGUUACAAUUGGAGGCGUUUCUCAGAUUUAGGUCUGACACCACCACAAUUGAAGCAAGCAACAAUGCAAAUGGCGUUUCAACUCUCUCUUUCCUCCUCCUUCCUCCCAUCUCCACUCCCCACAACCACCACCACCACAACCAGAAUGACCGUUACCCAGUCACCCCGCAGGCUGAUUUAUAUCUCCUCCUCCACCAAUUCAUCAUCGUCGACAACCGUCAAUUCUCCCAAGAAAAAGCACUGGAAAGUAGGGGAAUAUCCUGGCCUCACUCAUACCUCCAACCCUAAAUUCUCAACCAAUAAGAAGAGAACCCCCAUUAAGAACAUCAAGAAAAAGCUCGACAGAAAGAUUAAUGCCAACGCUUGGGUUAAUACUGUCACCGAAGCUCUUUCUGAUGCCAUCGAUAAAAAGCAAUGGCUCCGGGCUCUUCAGGUUUUACUCUAUUCCCCAACCACUUUUCUUUCAUCUUUUCAGUAAAUGGUGUGCUGCUGUACUUUUCUUUCUGAGCUUAUCGGCUCAUGAAUUCAAAAGGAUGACGAGGGAGUUCUGAAUUUGUAUUGGAUAAGAUUCAAUGCUUUACUAUAUAUUAUAUGUCAUAUAAUCAUCAGUAACUCAAAUUGCAAAUAUAAGUCUUGACUGCCGAAGACAAUGAUGCAUUACUUUUCUCUUUGCUUUCUGAACCAGAAAUUAAUCCAUAAACUUAUCACCACCCCCAUUAAAUCUUUAUAGGUAUUUGAGAUGCUAAAGGUGCAACCUUUUUACCACCCAAAAGAAGGGACUUACAUGAAGCUACUUGUUCUUCUAGGAAGAUCCGGUCAACCUGGACAAGCCUCUCAGCUGUUUGAUGAAAUGCUUCAAACAGGAUUAGAACCAACCCCAGAACUUUACACAGCAUUGCUUGCUGCAUGUUGCAGGAGCAAUCUGAUUGAUAAAGCUUAUGAAGUUCUUGAACAAAUGAAGUCUCUCCCUCUUUGCCAGCCUGAUGUCUAUACCUAUAGUAUACUGAUUAAGGCCUGUGCCGAUGCUUUUCGUUUCGAACUGGUUGACUCCCUAUAUGAUGAAAUGGCUGAAAGAUUAAUCACCCCAAAUACUGUAACUCAAAAUACAGUACUGAGUGGUUAUGGAAAGGCGGGGAAAUAUGAAGAGAUGGAGAAGAUUCUCUCCAAGAUGCUUGAAAGUACGACAAGCGAACCUGAUGUAUGGACUAUGAAUACGAUUAUCGGUUUGUUUGGCAAUGUGGGUCAGAUUGAAAUGAUGGAGAAAUGGUACGAGAAGUUUCGCAAUUUCGGGAUCGAGCCGGAAACACGCACAUUCAACAUUCUGAUUGGUGCGUAUGGUAAGAAAAGGAUGUACGAUAAGAUGUCAUCUGUGAUGGAGUACAUGCGGAGGCUUUCAUUUCCGUGGACAACAUCGACCUACAACAAUGUGAUUGAGGCAUUUUCUGAUGCCGGUGAUGCAAAGCACAUGGAGUACACAUUUGAUCAGAUGCGUGCUGAAGGCAUUAAGGCGGACACCAAAACAUUGUGCUGCCUCAUACGAGGUUUUGCCAAUGCUGGUCUCUUUCAUAAAGUGAUCAGCAUGGUUCAGUUGGCUGGGAGAUUGGAGAUACCUGAGAAUACCUCAUUCUUUAAUGCAGUCAUAUAUGCUUGCUCUAGAGCAGAUGAUUUAAUGGAGAUGGAAAGAGUGUUCAAGAGAAUGAAAGAUAAGUCAUGUCAACCAGAUUCCACAACUUACUCGGUUAUGAUGGAUGCGUAUAGAAAAGAAGGUAUGAGUGACAAGGUGUAUGACCUGGAGCAAGAAAUGCAGAGGAUGAAUGGUGGUAAGGUAUCCAAAGGGUACGAUGAUGUAGAAACAGAGGCUAAUGAUGAUGUCAGCAAAGAGGUGUUGGUAAUGGUAUGAGUGUUGGUGGUGUCAAUUAAUUUCUGGGAAAAUUGCUAUGAAAAGUUGAUCAUGAUUGAUAUCCAGAGUGGGUAAAUCACAAAUAAAGCCAUGCUGGUCGUAGUAGUGUUAGUAAUCGUGGCAUGAAGGUAGUUACAAAUAUCUAAUAGCUGUUUGUCUUUGUGUUUCUCCCUUACCGUGAUUCUGAACUCCGAGAAUGAAUUGAUAUCAUACUUGCUGCGGGCUAAAGAAUGAAUUGAUAUCAUAAACCUGCAGUUGUCCUCACAUAUGUAAUUUUGUAGCCGUGUUAUAAAUCUUAAAGUUGUAAUUUCGUAAGGCAUCAAUUGUUUAUGAAGUGUUGUUUUUGCAGUAGCACUGCCACAGAUGAUCUAAUUAGAUCAUAUGGUUUCAUUUUCUUUCUUUCUUUCUUUCUUUCUUUCUUUCUUUCUUUCUUUCUUUCUUUGUUUAUUAGGAGUGUUGUAUUGAAGUUAGGAGUGUUGUAUUGAAGUUUAGGCUGUAAAAAGAUAAAUUGUUGUAUAAGGGGUGGAAAUCGGAAUGAAAGUUCAGAUUUCCGCCGAAUCCGAUCCGAAAUAUAACGAUUUUGGAACGACUUUUUCAAUUCCGAAUUCCGAAAUUCCGAUUUCCGAAAAUUCCGAAAAAAAUCGGAUCGGAAUCGAAAAUACAUAACAGAAUUUCCGAUUUCCGAAAUUAAGUAUAUAGGGAUAAGCCAUUUUUCUUUACUGCCUUUUAUUUUGCCUUUUUUUUCGGCCCACUUAAUGCUGAAACGCCGCCGUUUCGUAUUCCCCCACCAAUCAGCAUCCGUAAUUAAUUUUUUUUUAAAUUUAUUUUGCAAGCAGCUCGACCAUGUCGUGGCUGCUUGAUUUCCGAUUUUCUUUUAUUCCGCUUUCUGCAAAACGACGUCGCUUUGCCGGCUGCACCCUUACCCAUGGCCAACAAUUGUUGACCUCCGCCAUUGAUCAGUCCCGCCGCCGCUCCACCCGAUGCACCUAUACCACGGCACCGCCUUUUUUCUCCAAUAGUAUGCGUCGCCGCCCUCCUCGUCUCUAUCUUCAAUUUGUGUAAAUGCUUUCCGCCUCGCACUCAAUUCUUUCCCAUCUUUUUGCUUUAAUUGUUUUUCCUCCUAAUAAAGCUCUGUGGUGAUCUUUGCUCUCGUCCUCUUCUCCGGCCGUCCAAACUCUUGGCUGUGUUGUGCUGCUUUUAAUUUUCACAGCGAAGAAGUUCAAGUGGGUAGGUAGUACCUACGUGGGUUUUCUGCAUUUUCUGAACAAGCUUCGAUCUUUUCUCUUGGCAUUCAAUCGGUUUCAAGAUUCAACCUUUUUUCCGAUUCUUGGAUAACCCUUUGGUUACUGUUACAGGUUAGGACACUAAAUUUACUUAUUUUACUGAUUCUUUCAACUUCCUUUCAUAAAUUACUGGAAAACUCAUGUUAGGCGUACUGAUUCUAAUUACGUAUCUAUCUUGUCUGUGCUUUUUUCUUUUGUUUUCGUUUAGGGUUUUUGUAGUUCUGAUUCUAAUUUGGUGGGUCAGUUCAGAUUUGCAAAUUGCGCCGUAAAAGGGGCUUGAAGACUGUGUUUAUUAGAGGAGGGUCUGGUGGUUCUGUUAAUUCCGGGCCUAGCGCAAAUAUUCAUGGGUCCCGUGGUGGUGGUGUGAUGCACUAAUGGUUUUCUAUUUUUGGUUGAUAAUCAAUAAUUUUUGUAAACUCAUUUUUCUAUGUUUUUAUGCGAUCGCAGAAUACGUUGAUUUUGAGAGCGAUUCCGGGGUUAAAUGAAAUCGGAAAGGCUUUAUUAGGUAAUUCAAUUAAUUUAUCUUUUAAAAAAUUAUUGGUUUAAAAUAAUGUCUCCCUGAUUUAUUGGGAAUUUAGUUUGAAAUAUGAGGAGGUACUAAGCUAUUUCUGAUGAUUAUCUUAUUCUGCUGUUUGAAAAUUUUGCUUCUGAAGUAAAUUCUGAGCGAUCGUUUGUUCUUCAGCUAACGAUAAUUGGGUUGUAGGAACUGUUGCUGAGCAAGUCAUGCUUCUGGAGAAUAUAGGGACAUAUCUGUUCUUGUUUCUGGAAAUCAGGUUUAGUACACGAUACAAGCUCUUAAUUCGUUCUGUUUAUACUAAUAUUUUCGUAUCAAAUUAUGGAUGCAUUAAAUGUUUGAACUUCUGUUUUAUGAUACCUCUAGGAGUCUGAGUACUGUGUAAAUAUAUUUAUUUUUUGAUUCAAUUUGCGGCAAUUGUUAUAUUCUUUUAGAUAUUACUCGUAUAACUGUGUCUGUUUUGUUUGUAUAGCUCCCUGAACUUCAUGCAUUGAUGGUAGAGGCUGCCAGUAUACUGAACAUUGACGCGCCCGACUUAUAUUUGCGCCAAAGUCCUGUGCCUAAUGCAUAUACUUUGGCUAUCAGUGGGAAAAAGCCAUUUGUUGUCGUUCAUACAAGCUUAGUGGAGCUUUUGUCAAGAAAGGAAUUGCAGGUACUAAACCUUACUUCUGGUAGUGCUUGAGUUGUACUUUAACCUUUAUUUGCUGUAUCACAUACAUGCUGUUUUGGCACAUGAAUUGGGUCAUCUGAAGUGUGACCACGGUUUAUGGCUCACGUACGCUAAUAUUCUUACUCUUGGAGCAUAUUCUAUACCCGGUAAGCUCUUGUUUUUCGUUGGUCGGCCUGAGUCAGUUCUACAAUUAUGGUUGGGGGUUGUUUAGUGUUUGUUCUAUUAGACAACAAAUAUCGUAUUUUUUUCACUUCGUUCCAAUAAAAGUUGUACCCGUACGGAAUUCUUCUGUUUCCCCGUGUGAUCUCUAUGAUCACCUCUAUUCCCUUUAUCAAUUCGCCUAUAUUAAGAACUAUUAAGACCAUCGACUAUAUUUCACAAGCUCUUUAUUCAUAGGCCUUGGCGGUUUGAUUGCUCAGCAAUUAGAAGAACAGCUCUUCCGCUGGCUUCGAGCAGCAGAACUUACUUGUGAUAGGGCCGCCCUUCUUGUUGCUCGGGACUCAAAGGUAGAUAGAUAGUAUUAAGAUUAAUCUAUUGCCCUUUUGAUAUCAAACUAUGAUUAUUAUUAUUUAUUAUUAUUAUCUUUUAAUCAUCUUACACGUGCUCUCGCCACAAGAGGUUGUCAUCUCCGUUCUGAUGAAAUUAGCUGGUGGCUGCCCCUCUAUGGCUGACCAAUUAAACGUGGAUGCCUUUUUGGAGCAAGCUCGAUCUUAUGAAAAGGCUUCUUCUAGCCCAGUUGGGUGGUAUAUAAGGUCAGCCAACUCAUCUUGCUAUGCAAAAAGAAUAUAAUUAAAAGAUGCUAUCUUGCUAUGUGGAUGUUAAAAUAUGGUAGAUGCUUUAACUUGUUCAACUCUGCUCAGAAAUGCUCAAACGAGGCAACUUUCCCAUCCUCUCCCGGUUCUGCGUGCACGUGAGAUUGAUGAAUGGUCCAAAAGUCCAGAGUAUCAAUCUCUUCUAAAGAGUUUGAAGUGGGUCAACUCAGUGCAAAAUGUAUAACGUUGGAUUUUUGAAGUAUUCCAGAGUCUUUUGUACAGUUAUAGGGUGAAGUUUCCGAACCCCUGCUAUCUGCUUAAAUUGGAAAUUAAAACAUUUUCGAUCUUAUUAUGUGAAGUUGAUAAAUUUGUCCAUUUUGUGCGACAUGUGCAGAUUCUUGAAGCAAGAUUGAUAAACAUGGAGCUGCACGAAGUGUUACACUGCUAUUCAAUUUGAGUAAUGUGGGUUUUAAGUUAAUAGAAUAGAAUAUUACAGGGGUUAUUACUCCACGGAUACAGCAUACAGGUUGGGGUUCUCCCCAUGAGUUUGGAUCAAUUAUAGUGAAGAUAUUGAACAAUGUUAUUCCUGAUAUUUCUGUAUAUACGAUAUUACAUUGUAUAUAAUAUGUUACGAGUGUUACCUUGCUGGAGGAGCUGGAAGUAGCUUGGCAUUCCGUGUGGAGAAUCCGUCGCCAAUUUUUUCUCAUGGAAUUAGUUGCAUUGCUGUAGUGCCAAGUGGGUCCCGUUCGGGUGCAGAAACAGUGAAGAAGAUGAGGGGUAGGUCUAGAAAUAUAUACCCGGUAGAGCAGCUAAUAUGUCGUUAGGGCUGUCACCUGUUUCGGCCGCUCCAUCAUUUGAGCGGAUUGCCUCGGGGGAGAGAGCACGAAAGGGGCGGCCGCCUGGCACAUGGUCGAAACAGAAACUCCUCCUCUUGGUAAGUUUUGUUCGAGAGUAAAUUGAUGUAGAACUGAAGUAAUCCUAAUGUGUUAUUUUCUUUCAAAAUGCGAUUUUUGUUGUCGAAAGUACGAGUCUUUAGGAGAUAUUGCCUUUCGUUUUCCUCUAAAUGCACAUGUUUCAGUAUUCUUAUCGAUUUAGUUAUCGUAAGUUCGUAACCUUUGUCAGUGAGAUGUGAGAAAGAGAAAAUAAUUAUCUUUAAUUAGGCGAAUGGAUGAACACGUCAGCGGGACUAGCAUUUACACCACAUAUACUACACGUUAGAGUCGGAGAGGUACGUUUGUUGCAUUCCCUAAUUAAUUAUCUUGAUUUUAUUCGAUAUUCCGUCAAUUUGCAAUACUAUUUUUUAUGUUGCAAUUAUUAAUUUCUAAGUCAUGUACAAGAUAUUACGGCAAAAAUACUGGCAUUUGCACGACAGCGACCGAGAUGUUUAUGCAUCAUGUCAGGUAGUGGAGGAAGUUAUCCUCUUACUUUGACCUGCAAAUUACAAUAUUACAAGAACAAGGUUCUUGGUAGUGAUUUUUCCUCUUUGUUUUCUUGACAUGCCCCUACCAAUAACUGAGAUCAAUGUGCAGGCUAAGGUAGAUGUCUUCAAUGCAAAAGUUAGGUAUUUGUUCUUACAAGAUGGUCUGAUCAAAAUACUGAAAAAGCAAGAUUGAUUGUUUUCUGGAAUAACUAUUUUUUGGCUUUAAUUUUCUGCUAAGUCAGCUUAUUAUAUUUUCCAGACAAAAUGCCUGCUGAGGAAUAUCCUCUGCCGCAUUGUGCUGUUCAUUUUUUUGGGGGUUGGGUUUGGGUUUGGGUUUACGAUUUGUUCGGUCAAACUUUUCCCUGUUAUUGAUAUUUCAAUUUCUCUUUACGGAUUGGAUUAGUUUUACGGCCGUUUUGAUAGUCACUUUUAUGUUUUUCUACCUUUCUGAAUUCCUUUAUUAUUUGUUGGUAGAAUUAACUCAGGGCCUGAUAUUUUACACUAUUUCCUUUUGGAUUUGGCAUUUGGCCAUCAGUACUUUAAUUAUUACAGAAAUCCGAGGUUCUUGAAGACACCGAUGAUUGUUAACGGAGCUGGGAAUCGUCACCACGGAGGGAAAGGCAUUUUGCAGUCCACAAUGUCGGUCUAGGCAAACCUCGAUUGAUGAACAUAGCGAGAGGUCGCGUCGCUCUGCGGCGAAGAAGAAGAGGGAGUACUCUGUUUCGCCCUGCUCUGGUAAACUUGAGUUUAUAGCAAAAAAUAUAAUAGAAGAUUCAAAUGUUCCACUAUUAUAUUGAUGUUUCCGGGGACUAUUAUAUUGAUGUUUCCGGGGACUAUUAUAUUGAUGUUUCUUGUUGGCAUUUAUUUUUUACAGCUGCUUUUAUUCGGGCGACUGAAUUCUGAGAUGGAGUAGCUUUGUGCGUCCGACGACUUCGUCAGCCGUUGGAGUUGUUUAUAUUUUUUUGAUUUCUGCCUCGUAUAUUUCUGUUUUUUUCUUACGAUUUAUUUUGGUUCGUUUAGGUUUUCUAAUCUGUUUUGCUUAUUUGAAUUUAAUGCCCUUUUGCUAUUUAGAUGUUUGUAGAAAUUGUACUUGGUCCCGGUGAAAAAAAAAUGGGGGGAGCUUGUUCGAGCGCCAGGAUUUAUAGACCUGGGAUUCUCAUUAACUUAAUGACUUCUUGUUUCUGUUACUCUAUGUACUUUAUUUGUAUUGAAUCUAUUUUUUUCAGUUCCGAGAUUAGGGAUGUCUAUUGUGCUCAAAAUUUUGAUUAUGAGUUUUUUUUCAAUAUAGGGAUGCCGAUGUUGGUUUCUUCGGCAGCCACCAUCAGGUUCGCUCAAUUUUUAUCCACAUGACUUUUUUCUUUCCGUUCACUUUAAUCAAGCCCCAUAACAUCCCUCUAUAAUUCUUGAAUCCCGUACUCCUUGACUGGCGCCAUCUCUUCGCCCCAUCUCGAUGCAUAUGGGUGUAACUUUCACUUUUGAGUACCAAUUCAUAAAAACGCAGAAUCGAUGCAUGUUUAUCGUUUUCUGUGGUUUAUAUAUAAUUAUUUGUUUGUGUUUACCUUUUCAUUUGUUAUAGGUUGCUGAUUGAGUUUAGGCCUUUUUUAGUUCUGCGGGAUUUUUACAGAAAUUUUGGACUGAUAUACAUUUAUCUUUGGAUGUCUGUAAUUUUAAAUUUGUAUUACAAUUCUAGGUUGAAAUUUUUGAACACUUUUGUCUCCUCAUUUGAUGUAGAACGCACAAAAGAAUUUCCAAACGGGAGAAAAGAGGCACGAAGAAAGCACAAGUAUUUAUUAUCUUUUACAGCAUUAUGUUAUUUUAUUUUUUCCAUUUUACGUGAUACUUGUGGUUCCUUCGUUACAUUUUUGCAGCCUAUUAUUUUGGAUUGACCUGUUUGCCUAAAAGGAUUGGUAUGACGUUAAUGCCUCAUCUGUUGUUUAUAAUUAUUCGGUUUCUUUAUCAUAUGAGGUGGUUUUUUUUUUUUUUUUUUGAUUAUUUAUGGAAUAGUCAAUACUUGUUCAGCUUGAUGCAUGUGCUUUUGUUUGUUGUCUUUCUGGAAUGAAAAUUCAGUACGAGUCAUUUGAGCAACAGAUGUUUUGUUCUAUUAAAUAUCUCGGUAUAUUUAUCUUAUCAAGUUCAAUUGAAUUUAUUUCAGUAAACUUUUGCUAAUUUCUGAUGUUUUUAUGUGUGCAAUGCAAAAGAACCAGCAGCUGACGGGGGAGUAGGAACAAGGUAAGUGAGAAGUUAUAUGUGUGGAUGAUCAACUGCUUUGGCGUUUGUGCAGUGUGAUGUUAUUUUUUGAAACUUGGUCUUCCUAUCGUAAAUUAUAUCUAUUUUGUAAGCAUGCUCCUUAUCUCAUGUUUUUGGUUUUUGUUUCGGUUUCGGUUUUAGUUUAGGCGAUGUUAUGUGAUUUGUAGAUUGGUUCAACUUCGGUGUUGUUUAGAAGCGAACAUAUGUUUUGGGCUCUGUGUUUCAUGUCUACGUAAAUUUACGAUUUUGUUGGAUGCCAUAUAUGCCUUCUUUUUAAUAUGUAACUUGCAUAAAUACACACUGGAAGUUGUUUUUGUUUUGUAAGCAUGCUCCUUAUCUCAUGGUUUUGGUUUCGGUUUAGGUUCGUUUUUGGUUUAGGUUCAUUUUUGGUUUCGGUUUUGGGAAAUUGAAUUGCUUUUCACCUAUUGCUCGUGGUUUCUCCCUUCCCCUUUUCUUCUUUUCGUUUUCAUUAUAUAUAUUAAAAGAUUUGCAGUUUUGAGUUCUUUUGUGUGGGUUACGUCUAUGAUGGAUUUUCGUAUGUGUGUAUGUAUGCGGCAUUUUCUGUGUGCAGACAUAUUACGUUGUCCAGGCAUAUUACGUUGUCCUUGUCCAGUUACAGAGAUUUGGAAAUUGUCUGCUUUGCAGAAUGGUCCAUUACAAGACAAAUUCCUGCAGUACCCCUUCACUAACUUCGUAGCUAAAAAAGGCCACAGAUGUAUUUAUUUGUUUAUUUCAAUCGUUAGGCUACUGUUUUCGUAAGUGUAGCUAUUACCUACCGUUAAUGUCAUAUACAAUGGCGGCCUUCAUUGACAAAAAUAGAGUUUAGCGUAAACGAUGUAGCUUAUUUCUCGUCCUUUUACAAUUUAUACCAAGCAAUUUUGGUACUGUAAAAUUGUCUUUAUUUCUUAAAACUCCCCAACACAUUUGGAGUUUUUCUCUGUUACUCUUCUUUCUGAUUUGCAAGACCACAGGUUGAAUUAGCUUUCCAUUUCGACUGGGUUAUCUUCCUUUCGUUGCUUAUUUUUGUUUUCCAUAAGCUUGCAGCUCCACUUUGUCCUCUACUUCAUUUUUUAGGGUGUGCGGGGUAUUAAUUUUCUCAAUUUAUUUUGAUCGAAUUAUCGCCGCUGUUUGUGGCACCACUUCUUUUCAUCUGUGUAUCAUGUGCCUUAUUGUCGAUUUUAGUAUACCCUUCCUUUAGUAGCUCUACCUUUAUUUCCAGAAAUACAAAUUGGCCCCCACUUGGGGUAUUACCGGUUUAAGGACCAAAAUUUAAAACUAUAUAUAGUAUACGGAACAAAACUGUAAUUAUCCCAAGUUUAUUAUAAAUAAUAUAAUAAAUUAACGUUUUCUUAAAUCGUAAAUCGUAAAAUUUAAUCGAUAUCAUUUGAAUCAACCAACUUAGGUAUGAAUGAAUUGAAUCGUAAGAUUUGAAUUGUAAAUCAUAAGAUUUUAAACUCGGUAUUGCGAAUUUUGGCAAACGAGUCACACUCGAUUACAGUUGAGGAGGAGUUGAAGCAUGUUGCAUUCCUGGUGGAUAUUCGGAUAUUACAGGAGGGAUCCACUUUGGGAUCAAAUUCGCAAUUUGGGUGGAGCGGUUAUGAAGAUUGAGUAAGUAUAGCGGUGAUUCUGCAAUUUUCAGAACUGUUUCAGUAAGGGAGGUGGAUUUUCAGAAAUUACUAAUUGACCCCACUUGGGGGCAUUUCCGGUUGAAGGACCAAAACUGUAAUCAUCCCAAGUUUAUUAUAAAUAUUAUAAUAAAUUAAAGUUUUGUUAAAUAGUAAAUCUUAAAAUUUGAUCGAUGUCUUGCGAUUUAUUUUAGCAUUUGAAUCGACUUAGGCAUGAAUGAAAUGAAUUAUACGAUUUGAAGCUUAAAUCAUAAGAUUUUAGGCUCGGUAUUGCAAAUUUUCGUAAAUGAGUCACACGUGAUUACAACCGAGGUGGUGGGAAGAUGGAGUAAGUAUAGGAGUAAUUCUGCAAUUUUCAAAACUAUUUCAGUUAGGGAGGUGGGUUUCGAGAAAUUACAAAUUGACCCCCACUCGGGGGCAUUACCGGUUGAAGGAUCAAUAUUAAAAAUGGUAUAUAAGAGUAUUCUCAAAACAUUCUUAUAGUUGAUUUUAUUCGGCCGAGUGAAUUCUCAGCUGGAGUUGAGUUCGUCCACAUCUGUAGACGGCGCCACUCUGUCGAGUAGCUUUGCGCUUCCGACGACUUCGUUUGACGUUGGACUUCUUUAUAUUACUUUGAUUUAUGCCUCUUAUAUUUGUAUUUUUUUCCUUACGAUUUACUUCUUGUACAUUAUCCUUCAAAUUUUUUGCUCCCUCUCUCCACCAAAUCCUUAUUUCCCGGCCUCCGUCGACUGGACACACGAGGCACACAUUCCGGCGGUUUUCGAUUUGUGUUCUCAUAUUUUCCAAUUUUCUCUGCGCAUAUUGGUGCUUCAGGGAAGUGGAUGAAUUGCUGCUCGAUCUCAAAAGGCCUUCCCUAUUUCCUUCUAUGAUUGUUGCUUUUGUUCAGGAAAGCGGAUGAAAUCGCUGCUCGAUCGCAAAAAGCCCUCCCUCUCUUCUAUGAAUAUUUGUUUUCGUAGUUGGGGCUAUUAGGUCUUUAAUUUAAGCAACUGGAUCGUAUAAUUGCAUUUUCAGAACUUUUGAAUGCAACAAAAUCAGGUGAGGAAUCACACGUUCACCUCAUAUUCAUUCUCUGUUUUCCCAUUUAUUAUUUUCUUCUUGUUUUUCAAUUUCCUAUAUAUCAGAUUACAAAAAGAUUUCAAGCACGUGAAGGUAUUCACAGUUUUAUGUAUGUAGACACUUGUAAUUCGAUCUUUCUCGUAUUUUAAUACCUGUUGGUAAAAUUGAAAACCAAAAAUUUUAUUGUACGUCGCAUAAUUUUUUGAACUGUUUAUCAUGUUCGUGGCGUGCGUUUAAGUUUUCUUUUUAGGUUUGUACUGUUUCCGAAUAACGAUUUGAGAAUUACAUACAUUUUUUUUUAAUUUUGGUCCUUAAACAAAUGCACCCUACGUGGGGGUCAAUUUGUAAUUUCAGGUAAUCCACUGAAACAAUUUUGAAAAUUGCAGAAUUGCGCUAUACUUACUCCAUCUUCCCAUCCGUUCCACCCAAAUAGCAAAUUUUACACCAAAGUAGAUCUCUCUUGUAAUAUCCGAAAUAUCAGCCACCAACGCAGUAUGCUUCGACUCCUCAGCUAUAAUUGUGUAUGACUCAUUUACGAAAAUUCGCAAUACCGAGUUUAAAAUCUUAUGAUUUACGAUUCAAAUCUUACGAUUCAAUUAUUCAUACCUAAGUCGAUUCAAAUGUUAAAAUAAAUCUUGAAUACCGACAAAACGAUCAAAUUUUACGAUUUACGAUUUAAGAAAACAAUAAUUUAUUAUAUUAUUUAUAAUUAACGUGUUAUAAUUACUAUUUUGGUCCCUAUAUUAUAUCCCAUUUUUAAUUUUGGUCCUUAAACCGGAAAUGCCCCCAAGUGGAGAUCAAUUGGUAAUUUCCGAAAAUCCACCUCCCUAGCUGAAGCAGUUCUGAAAAUUGCAUAAUCACUCCUAUACUUACUCAAUCUUCAUAACUGCUCCACCCAAAUUGCAAAUUUGACCCCAAAGUGGAUCUCUCUUUCAAUAUCAAAAUAUCCGCCACAUUUAUGAAAAUUCGCAACACCGAGCAUAAAAUCGUAUGAUUAGUGAUUCAAAUUUUACGAUUCAAUUCAUUCAUAUCUAUGUUGAUUCAAAUGUCAAAAUAAAUCUUAAAUAUCAACAAAUCGAUCAAAUUUUACGAUUUUUGGUCCAUAUAUUAUUAUAUAUAUAUUUUUUAAUUCUGGUCCUUAAACUAUAAAUGCACCCCAAGUGGGGGUCAAUUUGUAAUUUUUGGAAAUCCAUCUCCCUUAAUGUAACAAUUUUAAAAAUUCAGAAUCACCCCUAUAGUUACUCCAUCUUCCUAUCCGCUCCAGCCCAAUUGCAAAUUUAUCCCCAAAGUGGAUCUCUUUUGCAAUAUCCGAAAUAUCCGCCACCAACCCAGUGUGCUUCUACUCCUCAGCUAUAAUCGCACGUGACUCAUUUAUGCAAGUUCACAAUACCGUGUUUAAAAUCAUAUGAUUUACAAUUCAAAUCUUACGAUUCAAUUCGUUCAUACCUAAGUCGAUGCAAAAGUUAAAAUAAAUCUUAAAUAUCAACAAAACGAUCAAAAUUUACAAUUUACGAUCAAAGAAAACUUUAAUUUAUUGUAUUAUUUUUAUGAUAAUUACAGUCUUGGUCCCUAUAUUAUAUACAUUUUUUUUGUUUUGGUCCUUAAACCGGAAAUGCCCCCAAGUGGAGGUUAAUUUGUAAUUUCCGAAAAUCCACCUCCCUGGCUUAAAUAGUUGUGAAGAUUGCAUAAUCAUCCCUAUACUUACUCCAUCUUCCGCUCCACCCAAAUUGCAAAUUUGAACCCAAAGUAGAUCUCUCUUUCACUAUCCAAAAUAUCCGCCACAUUUACGAAAAUUCGCAACAACGAGCAUAAAAUCUUAUGAUUUACGAUUCAAAUCUUACGAAUCAAUUCAUUCAUAUCUAUGUCGAUUCAAAUGUUAAAAUAAAUCUUAAAUAUCAACAAAUCGAUCAAAUUUUACAUUUUUUGGUCCCUAUAUUAUUAAACCUUUUUUUAUUUUUUUUUAUUUUUAAUUUUGGUCCUUAAAAAAGAAAUGCACCCCAAGUGGGGGUCAAUUUGUAAUUUUUGGAAAUCCACCUUCCUGGCUGAAACAAUUUUGAAAAUUGCAGAAUCACAACUAUACUUACUCCAUCUUCCCAGCCGCUCCACCCAAAUUGCAAAUUUAACCCCAAAGUGGAUCUCUCUUGCAAUAUCCGAAAUAUCCGCCACCAACACAGUAUGCUUCUACUGCUCCUCAGCUGUAAUCGCUUGUGACUCAUUUACGAAAUUUCGCAAUACUAAGUUUAAAAUCUUAUGAUUUACGAUUCAAAUCUUACGAUUCAAUCCGUUCAUACCUAAGUCGAUUCAAAAGUUAAAAUAAAUCUUAAAUAUCAACAAAACGAUCAAAUUAUGAUUUAAGAUAUUAGAAAACUUUAAUUUAUUAUAUUAAUUUUAAUAAACUUGUGAUGAUGACAGUUUUGAUCCCUAUAUUAUAUACCAUUUAUAAUUUUUGUCCUUAAACCGGAAAUGCCCCCAAGUGGAGGUUAAUUUGUAAUUUCCGAAAAUCCACAUCCCUGGCUGAAAUAGUUGUGAAGAUUGCAGAAUCAACCCUAUACUUAGUCCAUCUUCCUAACCGCUACACCCAAAUUUCUUAUUUGACUCCAAAGAGUGGAUCUCUCUUUCACUAUCAACAUAUCCGCCACAUUUACUAAAAUUCGCAAUAACGAGCAUACAAUCUUAUGAUUUACGAUUCAAAUCUUACGAUUUAAUUCAUUCAUAUCUAUGUCGAUUCAAAUUAAAUGUUCAAAUAAAUUUUAACUAUCAACAAAUUGAUCAAAUUUUACGAUUUUUGGUCCCUAUAUUAUUAUACAUUUUUUUUAUAAUGUUGAUCCUUAAAUAAAAAAUGAACCCCAAGUGGGGGUCAUGUAAUUUUUGGAAGUCCACCUCCCUGGCUGAAACAAUUUUGAAAAUUGCAGAAUCACUCAUAUACUUACUCCAUCUUCCCAGCCGCACUACCCAAAUUGCAAAUUUGACCCCAAAUUGGAUAUCUCUUGCAAUAUUUGCCACCAACGCAGUAUGCUUUGACUCUCCUCAAUUAUAAUCGUGUGUGACUCAUUUACGAAAAUUCGCAAUAUCGAGUUUAAAAUCUUAUGAUUUACGAUUCAGUCUGUUCAUACUUAAGUCGAUUCAAAAGUUAAAAUAAAUUUUAAAUAUCAACAAAAUGAUCAAAUUUUACGAAUUACAAUUUAAGAAAACUUUAAUUUAUUAUAUUAUUUAUAAUAAACUUGCGAUAAUUACAUAUUUGAUCCCUAUUUAUAUACAAAUUUUAAUUUAGGUCCUUCAACUGGAAAUGCCCCCAAGUGGAGGUCAAUUUGUACAUAUUUGAAAAUCCACCUCCCUGGCUGAAAUAGCUCUGAAAAUUGUAGAAUCACCCCUAUACUUACUCCAUCUUCCUAGCCGUUCCACCCAAAUUGCAAAUUUGACCCCAAAGUGGAUCUCUAUUUCAAUAUCCGCCACAUUUACGAAAAUUCGCAAUAUCGAGCAUAAAAUCUUAUGAUUUAUGAUUCAAAUCUUACGAUUCAAUUCAUUCAUAUCUACGUCAAUUCAAAUGUUAAAAUAAAUCUUAAAUUUCAGCUAAUCGAUCAAAGUUUACGAUUUUUGGUCCCUAUAUAACCUACAUUGUUUUUUUUUUUGUUUUUUUGUUUUUUUUUUAAUUUUUGUCCUUAAACAAGAAAUGCACCCCAAGAGGGGGUCAAUUUGAAAUUUAUGGAAAUCCACUUCCUUGACUGAAACAGUUUUGAAAAUUGCAGAAUCACCGCUAUACUUAUUCCAUUUUUCCAGUCGUUUUACCCAAAUAGCAAAUUUAACACCACUGUGGAUCUCUCUUGCAAUAUCCGAAAUAUUUGCCACCAACGCAGUAUGCUUCGACUCCUCAACUGUAAUCGCGUGUGACUCAUUUACGAAAAUUCGCAAUACCGAGUUUAAAAUCUUAUGAUUUACGAUUCAAAUCUUACGUUUCAAUUAUUCAUACUUAAGUCGAUUCAAAUGUUAAAAUAAAUCUUAAAUAUCGACAAAACGAUCAAAUUUUACGAUUUACGAUUUAAGAAAACUAUAAUUUAUUAUAUUAUUUAUAAUUAACGUGUUAUAAUUACUAUUUUGGUCCCUAUAUUAUGCCCCAUUUUUAGUUUUGGUUUAACGUAUUAUAAUUACUAUUUUGGUCCCUAUAUUAUAUCCCAUUUUUAGUUUUAGUCCUUAAACCGGAAAUGCCCCCAAGUGGAGAUCAAUUGGUAAUUUCAGAAAGGUUGCGGCUACAUACAAGACUAAAACCACUUGUGCAAGACCAAAUUAAAAUUUUCAAUGUAUAAACACUAUAAUACCCUUAUUUGUUAAAAAAAAUAGAAAAUUUCAAAUGUGCAAGACCAAAAAUUCAAAAACACAAAAAAACCCUAUCACAAGACCACAAAACCACAAGACCAACUUUCAUCUUCUCCAUCUUCCAAAAACCACAAGACCUUUCUCAUUCCUCCUCCAUAAACCCACAAAACCUAAACAUUCAAAAUCAUCAAAACUCAACAAAUUUUACAAAGAUGGCAAGUAUGGAGUUAGAAGACAUCAAAAUAGAAGAUUCUACGGUGAAAGAACCCAAUAAGGUAUGCAUUUAUGGAUUUUUUAGCUAGAAUAUCGUUUUUCCAAAAAAAAUCCCGCACAAACGAAUUCGACAUGUACAGGUCGAAUUUUAUGGGUAAAAAUCGACAUUUAGAUGUCGAUUUUGAGGUAUCAAAUUCGACAUUUGGCAAUGUCGAAUUUGUGCUAUAAAUUCGACAUGUCAGUGUUGAUUUCUGCCUAUAAAAUUCGACGCGUAAGUGUCGAUUUGUAACAUAGUUUUUCGACACCUUGGUGUCGAUUUUUACCAGUUUCAAAUUUAAUUUGUUUUUCCUCUUUUUUUGUAAGGUUUUACUGUCAAAUUUUUACCAGUUUCAUGAUUGUGAGCGGCGGGGCUGGCGGCGACGGCGAUCAGUGGUGGAGCUUGAGAGGUGGAGCUUUGACGACGGAGAAGGUGGGCGUAGGUGGGCAUAGGUAGGGUUUGGGGGGAUGGUUUAAUUCACGCAUCUAUGUUUUUUUUUCCUCAUUAUUUGUAUUUGAUCUUGCAUGAGAAAAAAACCAAUUUAAUUUAUGAGUAUAUUUGUCAUUUCAUCUUAAUAAAAUAGAAUCUUUUGGAAUCUUUAAUUUGGUCUGGCACAAGUGAAAUUAGUAUUGCAUAUAGUCGCAGCCUUUCAGAAAAUCCACCUCCCUAGCUGAAGCAGUUCUGCAAAUUGCAUAAUCACCCUAUACUUACUCAAUCUUCCUAACCGCUCCACCCAAAUUGCAAAUUUGACCUCAAAGUGGAUCUCUCUUUCAAUAUCCAAAAUAUCCGCCACAUUUAUGAAAAUUCGCAAUACCGAGCAUAAAAUCGUAUGAUUUACGAUUCAAAUCUUACGAUUCAAUUCAUUCAUAUCUAUGUUGAUUCAAAUGUUAAAAUAAAUCUUUAAUAUCAACAAAUCGAUCAAAUUUUACGAUUUUUGGUCACUAUAUUAUUAUACCUCUUUUUAAUUUUGGUCCUUAAACCAGAAAUGCACCCCAAGUGGAGGUCAAUUUGUAAUUUUUUGAAAUCCACCUCCCUGGCCGAAACAAUUUUGAGAACUACAGAAUCACCCCUAUACUUACUCCAUCUUCCUAGCCGCUCCACCCAAAUUGCAUAUUUAACCCCAAAGUGGAUCUCUCUUGCAAUAUCUUAAAUAUCCGCCACCAACGCAGUAUGCUUCAAGUCCUCCUCAACUAUAAUCGCGUGUGACUCAUUUACGAAAAUUCGCAUUACCGAGUUUAGAAUCUUAUGAUUUACGAUUCAAAUCUUACGAUUCAAUCCGUUUAUACCUAAGUCGAUUCAAAAGUUAAAAUAAAUCUUAAAUAGCAACAAGACGAUCAAAUUGUACAAUUUCGAUUUAUGAAAAAAAUAAUUUAUUAUGUUAUUUAUAAUAAACUUGUGAUAAUUACAUUUUUGUCCCUAUAUUAUAUACCAUUUUUAAUUUUGGUCCUUAAACCGGAAAUCCCCCAAGUGGAGGUCAAUUUGUAAUUUCAAAAAAUCCACCUCCCUGGCUCAAACAGUUCUGAAAAUUGCAGAAUAACCCUUAUACUUACUCCAUCUUCCUAUCCGCUCCACCCAAAUUGCAAUUUUGACCCCAAAGUGGAUCUCUCUUUCAAUAUCCGCCACAUUUACGAAAAUUCGCAAUAACGAGUAUACAAUCUUAUGAUUUACGAUUCAAAUCUUACGAUUCAAUUCAUUCUUAUCUAUGUCAAUUCAAAUGUUAAAAUAAAUCUUAAAUAUCAACAAAUCGAUCAAUUUUUACGAUUUUUGGUCCCUAUAUUAUAUACCUAUUUCGCAUCGCACGCGCCGUCAUUCAGAUAGCCUUUAACGGAAGGAAGAAAAAUUAACUCCUGAUUAAUUAGCUUUCGUUAACACAGAAACGAGUUUAUAUUUUGACAAUCAUUUGUGCACCAGCAAAUUCCCUUGUUUCUAAGGGAGUGGACCCCACAACACCCUCCGUAGACAACUUCAAAUCGUCACUUCCCAUCGCCACAUUCGACACAAAUUUUGCCUAAUCGUAAAAAAAAUAAAACAAAAUGCAGCCUAAAAAAUACAUAAUACGAUAAGUUCUUAGGCACCGGCACCGCGCAUUGCGCGGUGCUCUACACUAGUAUAUAUAUAUAUAUAUAUAUAUAUAUAUAUAUAUAUAUAUAUAUAUAUAUUUGGACAUAUUAUUAUUUUUUAAUUUUCUAAAACUUACAAAAGUCAAAACUCAAAAUUUAUUAGAAUUACUUAGAAACCCUUCUUUCUCCGACUCUCUCUCUAGCAGCAGUCAUCGACCUUUCUUUCUCCCCACCACCAGCAGCGCCUUCUCCGACGACCACGACCACCAGUGCCUCCCGAUUCUCCGCCGACCACUACCAGUAGUGAAUCUCGGCUCUCCGACGACCACCACCUCCACCAGCGCCUCCCAAUUCUCCGACGACCACCACAACUUGCGCCUCCCGAUUCUCCAACCACCACCAUCGCCACCAGGCAUCCCGGCUCUCUGAAGACCACCACCACCAGCGCCUCCCGGCUCUCCGACGACCACCACCAACGUAUUUGUGUGAGUCUCUUGUAUUUGUGAAGAUUACUUGUUUGAUGUUUCUUUUUGCAAUUUGGCUACUGUGUGGUGAUCAAUUUUUCCCUUUUUUUUUUUUGGAAAA
rnacentral:lncRNA from 1 species